UGUCUACAUUUGUUUAUUUCACACCAACAUAAUGAGUUGUUCUGCAGUAAACUGUACUAACCGAUUCUGCGAGAGUGUGGGCGGGGCCUUGAUACCGCGGCUCAAACUUAAUGCUCACUAUAGCAUUUCUUAAAAAAGAAAAAAUUUACACAGUAAAAUACCGUUUUCCAUUGAAACGGUAAUAUACUGUAAAACAAUGCAUUCUGGGUAAUAUUAUUAGUAAUUUUUGAGAAAGUAACCUAUAGGCUGCUUUCUCGAAAAUGACAAAUAUUACCCAUAAUGCAUUGUUUUUACAGUAUAUUACUUUUGUAUAUUAUAAUUACUGUCUCAUUUCAAAGACUACAUCCUCCAGAGGUGGCAUUUGAAAGUUGCAUACAUCAUCGAGGUGGUCUCAUUUAAGAAAAAUAAUGGUUAGAUUGCAAAGUAAGAAAGAAAUGACAGUAUUUUACACCUCACAAGGAACAACAGUCAAUUUUAUUACGGUUACAGAUGACAUAUGCAGCCUUCAAAUGCAACCUCCGGAGGAUGCAGCUAAUGCAUUCUGUACAUUAAAAUACAUUCUGGGUAAUAUUAUUUGUCAUUUUCGAGAAAGUAGCCUAUAGGCCUCUUUUCUUAAAAUGACAAAUAUUACCCAGAAUGCAUUGUUUUUUUAUGGAAUAUUACUGUUUCAAUGGAAAACGGUAUUUUACUGUGUAAAUUUGUUUGUUUUUUUUUUUGUUUGUUUUUUUCAAUUUUAGAGUGUAUGUCUUGUCCACCAAAGAAGUGGACUUAGAGGUUUUUGCAAAAAAAAUGGUUAAAUACCAAUAAGUGCAGAGGUGUUGUGUGCGCUGCGUAAACAUGAUGGUUAUUGUAGUUCUAGACUAAAUGCGAACAUGCAUUUUUAGGGAGUAACACAAUAUUGUAACUUUCCCCAACACUGCUGCUGACCUACAUCUAAAUUUCAUAAAUAUUUAUGCUCUUGAGUUUUAAGUGUAUGAGGUGCUGUAUUAGUGCUCAGUAAAAUAGCCAUUGUUUAUUCCCUCAGUUUUGAGAGUAAAAACAUGGUGAUUUAUAAAAGUUAUAAAAGAUAUAUACUGGAACAAUAUCACAAGCUUUCACAUAUUUUUUAAUGUUGAUAAAUACAGCAGUUAGAACUGCACCUUGGUCAUAUAAAGACAUGACAAAUUCAUAUGCAAUAUUCAUUUAUGCAAAGUGUUUUUUUUUUUUUUUUAACCAGAGGCCAGUUUAUUACCUUUAAACUGCUUUAUCAAAGACCUUAUUUUGUCUAAGUUGGUGUGUCUUGGCCUCUAUAGUGCCCAGGUCUAAAGAGUGUCCGUGAGGUUCUCCUCUGAUGAAGAGAGACGUGCAGGUUUAGCAAUAAAUUAUAUCAGAGGAUUACAGACAUCACUUUUAAAAGCAAGGCUGGAUCAAGUUGAAAGCAAACUUGAUUUGAAAGCCACUAUUUGCCUAAGCAGACUUUAGAGGAUUGAAUAUCAAAAGAAGAAUAUGCCUUAUUAUAUUGAUCAUAUUAAAAGGCCAAAAACACAUAAGUGUUUUUAAAGACCAAUACAGAAAAUGAAAUCCAGCAGAGGAAUAUUACAAAUAAAAGAACAAGUCUCUGUGCUAAAACAGAUUGUUCUGGCUCUUUUAAUUGACACAGAUGCUAUAUGAGAUUUUCAGACUAUGAUCGAAUUUGUAUUCUUUCAAAGUCCUAAUAAAAUAGAUUUAUUUUUGACAUACGGUAUUAUUUAAAGCUGCUGGUUUUGUCAAUAACAAUCUGUGUUGACAGUCUCUAUAUGCACCCGUGAGAGACAUAUAUGCCUAUGAGCUACAGUGUGCAUUAUACAACACAUAAUUACCUAUUAUUGAUCUUACAAAUGAUUGAACAGGCUGGUUCUCUUUUAGUCAAAGCAUUUCUUUUCAAGCAUUGCCAGUGGAGGACGCUCUGCUACUGACAACCAGCGUGAGAGACAUGUCAUGUGUUAGAUAGGAACAGAAAAACGAUUUUAAAAUGAUUUUACAAUUAAAUGAAAUGUUGAUUGCUUACAAUAUUGCUUGCCACUUUUAUAAUGCAAGCACGCAGGGACAGCUGUUGAAACUAAUAUUAGGCCUAUAAUUUUUUUCUUUAAUCUUUUAUCUGUCAUCACGUCUGAAUAUAGUGUUUUUGAGUUGAUGACCUAUCCAUGAUAGAUGAUGAUGGUGGACACAUUUUUCUUGAAUAGAGGAAAUAUUCCUUGUGAUAAAAAUAAAUACAAAAAAAGUCAUAAUAGCUAUGCCUGUAAUUUUAUCCUGCGAGUCAUCAAAAUUAACAGUCGUGUUUGUUGUGAGUAACCAGUCCUCUAAUUACUGAUAGGCUAUAAUAGGAAAGGUCUUCCGAAAUGUUGCACUUUCGAUUUUACGCAUUUAAGCCUAAUAUGAGUGAAACAACGUCCAAUUGAAAUUCAUUAAUAACGAUCAUUCGUCGAAGUAAUUAACAUCCCCGAUGAUAAACACGGGAACAAUACCCUAAUCAGCGACCGGUCUGAAUUUGACUACCCACAGUGCUCCGCAUGGUCCGCGCGCAGCAGGCCUGCUGGGCCGUGUGUGGCUAUGGAAACAGGGCGCGCCUAAUUAGACGGUGAAAUCCUUCACCCGCCCGAGCGAGCGGAGCGAGGCAUUGUACGGUGUCGCUUUUCUUCCCGUCAGUCUUUCAGCGAGGGGCUAGAUUGGCGCUGGCCCCGGGGUUUGUGGGAACCGGGACAGCCCUUUCACGCAAGCCCUCCUCAGGUCGACAUUAUUACACGGCCAAUUAAGUCAGUUCAGCGGGCUCGAACUUGAGCAAACAGCAGGGGCGAUUGUUUUCCGCAGCCCUCCCCAACUAGCCUUGCUAAUUACUCCGUGGACUGCACCUAGCCAGGAUGCAGGAGGGGUCUGACCCCCUAAUUAAAACUUGAACCUCCCUAAAAGAAGUUAAAACGAAAGGCCCUGAGGUGACCAACUUAAAACAGGUGACUCGUUUUGGAAAGGAAAACAAACACAAGAGGGGGAUUUGGGUUAGAGGCAGCUGUGGAUCCUGCACGCUCAGCUGGUGCCGCACAAAGAAACAGGUGACGGCGUAGGGAUGUUUGCCCUGCGAGGGUGCCUCCGCGUGCUCCUUUCCCCUGGAACGAGCUCUCUCAGUAAAAUCCGCACCUGGCCUGGUGGUCUUGGCAACAUCGGACAACCUCUAGCAGAUGUUCAUCUCUCUUUUGUCACUGACUUCGCGGUGGCUGCUCCGCAAGACAAAACUGCGGAUCAUCUCGUGAGUCCCUCUGCUGCAGCGAUCAUACGUGAUGAAGCUUUACUCAGUCACCUGAUCCGGGAUGAAAGUUGCCCUUUGGCUGUGUGACAGACAGGAAGAAAGGGACACUCACGCUAGUCUGAUGGUAUAGUGAAUUAACUGAACAAUACAGGUCAAAUUAAAGGCUUUUACUGCAUGGAGUCACUGAUACACACGCACACAAACCUGGUUAGGGAUAUCUGGAGUGUGUAGAUUCAUGGGCAGUGCAUCAGUUUACAUGCAGGGAAAGGCAUGCAUGCAUUUCUUCUACCUCAUAUAGCAAUAAUGAUGGACUGAUAUAUUGGAAAGACCGAUUAUUCAGACAUUUUGAGAUUACUGCCCACUUGAUUAACAGAUCUGGUAGAAAUUAUUAAAUUAAAGAUAAAUUAUUGUAACUGACUGGCAUUCUUGUCAAUGCAUGAUUGCCUUUUGUGUUGAAUUUUGAGUUAAUGUGUAAAAUAAGGAAUAAUUAAGAUUUUUUGAGAUUAAUUUACUGUGAUUAAAUUGUAUUAUGUACACUA